CAAAUUUCUCCACUGCGCUGAAUUUUUCCUUCUCCAAGGCGGUCUUUUGCCGAGAUCUCGCCUCUGCGCUGACAUAAUCUCGACAAUUAGCGUCGAAUUUCGAGGAGGAUCAUCCGGCUGCGAAUUCCACGGCGCUACAUUCAAAAGGCCCCUGAAAGGAUAUGUGGAAAACCAUAGCUUUUCGCUCCAAAGGCUUUGGACGGUCCUUUUAAACAAUCCAAACGUGCCUCGAGGGAGGAGAAUCCAGAAAAAAAUCUGGGGACUGACUCGUUCCUCCGAAUAGAAAUCCCGUGAUUCACAAGGUGGAAGUUGGCCAAUUGCUUUCGUUUCAUAGUCUAAAAAACAGGUUUUCCACCACCAUGAGAUCAACAUGAUCGAUCGAUCGCGCCGAGACAAGUUUCUUACGUCCACGAAGUGAUCUUGGUCCUGAGAUUUUUCGCCCAACAGUGAUCGAUUAAAGCGGUGAUUGGAUCCACUAGCCCGCUCUUUGAAUCGCAGCUUAAUGAUCGUCCCUUUCAUCCAUUUCGUGCCGCGCUAGUCCCCACCAAGAUCAAAAAAUACACGAAAAACUCCAUUCUUGGUCUUGGCAGCACGUUAAGGACGAGAAAAAGUAUAGUUUCGUGCCGGGCGACUGGGAUCUUUUUAAGUGAAAUGGACGGACUGGAUGCACAGGUG